CACCCCUACCCUUGACUAUACCGUUGGAUCUCUAUAUCACCUAUUUUUUAUACCUUCUUCGUGCUCUCCGCCGCUGAGGUCAUCGUUCUUUUGCUUGAUCUCUGGCUUACACUUUCAUCGCAGGUUUUUCCUUCCUCGAACUGCGAUCAGUCUCGCCACCGGCCAUCGAGAUAUCGUCGGGAUGUCUUUAUCCAUUUGCACCCUUGUUCCUUUGUCUCAUCUUCGGAAGACUUCCCGUCAUGUAGCUAUCGGGUUUUCGCAGCCGAAAAGCCUUUGGAGAUCUAAGAUUUCCAUGAGCGUCUCGGUCGGAUCUCGGCAGCACACUUCGGACGAAUCUCUGUUCAUAGAUUACAAGCCCAGCUACGCGUUUUUGUUUCCCGGACAGGGUGCACAAACCUUAGGAAUGGGGGCUGAAGCUCAGGGUGUGCCAGCUGCAGCUGAAUUAUUUCGUAAAGCAAAUGACAUACUUGGUUUUGAUCUUUUGGAUGCCUGCACCAAUGGGCCAAAGGAAAAGCUUGAUUCGACAGUAAUAAGCCAGCCUGCAAUCUAUGUGACAAGCCUUGCUGCGGUGGAGGUUCUGCGUGCACGUGAUGGAGGCCCUGACAUCAUUGAUUCCGUAGAUGUCACGUGUGGCCUAAGCUUGGGAGAGUACACAGCUCUUGCAUUUGCUGGAGCUUUCAGCUUCGAAGAUGGGCUGAAGCUUGUCAAGCUAAGAGGAGAAGCAAUGCAGGAUGCGUCAGAUGCUGCUAAAAGUGCUAUGGUUAGUAUCAUUGGAUUAGAUUCAGACAAGGUGCAAUUGCUUUGCGAUGCUGCCAAUGAGGAAGUAGAUGAGAAAAACAAAGUUCAGAUUGCAAAUUAUCUAUGUCCAGGUAAUUAUGCAGUUUCUGGAGGUGUGAAAGGAGUAGAGGCAGUUGAAGCAAAGGCUAAAUCAUUUAAAGCUCGCAUGACGGUACGCCUAGCUGUUGCUGGUGCCUUUCACACAAGCUUUAUGGAGCCAGCUGUCUCGAGAUUGGAAACUGCAUUGGCAGCGACAGAGAUAAGAACACCGAGGAUACCAGUUAUAUCCAAUGUGGAUGCCCAGCCUCACUCAAACCCCGAUAAAAUCAAGAACAUCUUGGCACUCCAGGUAACCUCUCCAGUUCAAUGGGAGUUAACAGUCAAGACUCUUUUGGGUAAAGGAUUAAAGAAAAGUUAUGAACUUGGACCUGGAAAGGUUAUUGCUGGCAUACUGAAGAGGAUGGACAAGUCUGCUGAGAUUGAGAAUAUAGGUGCUUGAAAGUUGCUUAGGGACAGCUUCAUCUUCACCUGGAGUUUGACAAAACCAUGCGUGCCUCAAAACAUGGCAAUUUUUUGAAGUUAUUAUAAGGCAUGGAAAUCGAAGCUUGCGAUCAGGAUUUGCUUGAUGUUCAUGCGGCUGGAUUUCAUCUUUUGUCUAGUGUUGUUUCCUCUGAGGAACAGGAGCAACAGAUGAAGUGUGUGGCUGAUUUGAUCAUUUUUUAUCAUCAUAACUUCAACUUCAUCUCCAAUUGCAUACCGUAAGGGCAGCUGUCAGAUGAGCAUAAACCAUGCUAUUUCCUAGUUUCAUCCGUUCGCCAAGUCUGUGACCAGAAGUUCGGUUGCUACCAGUAAGUGCAAAAUGAAGGAGAGCUUUCCUUGAUGCGUCGUGUGCAGGUUUGUUCACUUGAAACAAAUAUCCCAUGUGUGGAUGAUCUUUUAAUGUCCGGUGGUAGGAUUUUGAAUGAUUUGGAUGGCUGCUUAGCUUCUUCCUGCAGGUGUGUUAGCCUUCUGAAUGCUUCUGCACAAGAUCCUCAUGCUUCAGGAAAAUGCACUUAUGCUACUUGUGUAAAUGCGUCAAUGUCUAAUUCCCAUAGUUUAGCUGGAAGAUUAGAUUCUUGUAGGGUUAAAUGUCCUAUUGCUGCAGCGCAAGUCCUCUUGUAACAAAAAUUUACACUCCAGCUAUUUGUGUUAUUGCUUCUAGGCCUAUUU